rnacentral:lncRNA from 1 species
GCCGGAGCCGGGCCACGACCGCCAGCAGAGCCGUGCCUGGGCGGGCUGCAGCAGGGCCGUGGCGGGGCGGAGGGGAUGGACCGGGCGGGCCGCGCCCCUCCCCAGCCGCAGCCCUGGAGCAGCGGCGGGACGAAUCCUCUCCCUAACCUUGAUCGCCUUCCGGGGACUCCUCCAGACCCCGGCGCAGGGCCGGGGGAGCCGGCAGGGCAGGGGGAGGAGCUCCGGGCGGCAGCAUUAAACUUUAAGGUCUGCUUUAUGAUGGGUUCAGAGCAAAACCCCACAAGCAAUUGAGCUGACACAACAGGAGUGGUAGACUGCUAUGACAUGGAUUUUAUGGAAUCACAGAAUGGCUAAGGCUGGGAGAGGCAUCUGAAGGUCAUCUUGUCCACCCCCCUGCACUUUUCCAGGAUUGUGUCUGGGUGGAUUUUGAACAUGUCCAAUGAUGGAGACUUUGCAGUCUCUCUGGCCAACCAGUUCCAGUGCUCAGUCACCCUCACAGUAAAAAAUUUCAAGCUUCACUGUCAUUAAAUAUUUUGUGUGAUGACUGCCUGCUCUAAAUUAGAACUAAGAAGCAUUUGUAGAAGUUCAUGACUACCUCCCGGUUCAGGUCUUACAGUUAGACUUCGAAAUCCUGUGUCUGUGUAACACUGCCUGUGUCAGUCUCUUGGAAUGCAUCUGUCCUAGUCAGUUCUAGUAUGCUUCAGAAUGCAUGGGAAUGUGUUUGUCCUUGCUAGGCUAAUCCCACAGUAGGCCAGUCCUACACUUGCUAGGCCAAUCUCAGCACACUCCCUAAAAAAAUCUUGGCCUGUUUCAACUGUUUAUGUCCCUCAGCAACUCCUUGGCAUUGUCUGUCAUUCAGAGCAGCUCAGGAGAACGCUCAAUGGGCAGUUUGCCUUCAGUUACCCAUUCCCAACAAUUUCUUAAGUGUAGAUGCCAGCUAUUCUGUGAAUUAUGUCAGAGCCUUCUACUCUGUGAGUGAUGUCAGACAUGUUUAAUUUGCUGGUGUAUAAGUGGCCUGUGUCUGCAGGAUAUCUGAAUGUGUGCUCAGCACUGUGACCUGAGCUUUAGUGCAUCGUGCUGCUGAACGUGCCCUUGACUCCAGGCUUCAUGUGUGAUAUGUGUUAGGGAGAUGGGGCAGGCAAGAAUAACAAAACUGCCUCUUUGCUUCUUGUCUUGGUUUCUGGGGAAUAUUUUCUUUGACUUUUUCCUUUUAGAACUUGUCCAGAUCUUGGGCUGUGUUUGUGAAUUUGCCUUUCUGAAUUUUAGCCCUCUAAGCAUGAAAAUCAAUGUAAUUUAUUUUUUACUUACAUCAGAGUGGAUAAUGUAACUCAGGCACAUAAUAAAUAAACAAAUCAGCU